UAGGGAGACCUAAUCCAUUUAGAAAUCGAAAACAACGAAAAUUGUCAAUAGAAACUAAAUUGGUCUAACCUAGGUCGUUCGAGAUUGGUAGACAUCUUUCAAAGUAUUAUUCGGCUUCGUUCAAAACCAUAUAUAAUAAAUGGAAAAAGACAGCACCUAAUUGUCAAAGUUAGACUGCUGGAUGAAGUUCCAGCCAGAACCUUGAAAACUGCAUAAGAGAACAAGAAAAAGCAGGCAGACACAGACAUUUAGAUGGAUGUGGAAGCAAAAGAAAUUGU
rnacentral:misc_RNA from 1 species